rnacentral:rRNA from 1 species
UACGUAGGGCGCAAGCGUUAUCCGGAAUUAUUGGGCGUAAAGAGCUCGUAGGCGGUUUGUCGCGUCUGCCGUGAAAGUCCGGGGCUCAACUCCGGAUCUGCGGUGGGUACGGGCAGACUAGAGUGAUGUAGGGGAGACUGGAAUUCCUGGUGUAGCGGUGAAAUGCGCAGAUAUCAGGAGGAACACCGAUGGCGAAGGCAGGUCUCUGGGCAUUAACUGACGGUGAGGAGCGAAAGCAUGGGGAGCGAACAGG